UACGGGGGGGGCAAGCGUUGUUCGGAAUUACUGGGCGUAAAGGGCUCGUAGGCGGCCAACUAAGUCAGACGUGAAAUCCCUCGGCUUAACCGGGGAACUGCACCUGAAACUACCAGUCUUGAGUGGUGGAGAGGGAAGUGGAAUUCCUGGUGUAGAGGUGAAAUUCGUAGAUAUCAGGAGGAACACCAGUGGCGAAGGCGGCUUCCUGGACACUAACUGACGCUGAGACGCGAAAGCGUGGGGAGCAAACAGG
rnacentral:rRNA from 1 species